rnacentral:rRNA from 1 species
UACGGGGGGAGCAAGCGCUGUUCGGAUUUACUGGGCGUCAAGGGCGCGUAGGCGGCCACCGCAAGUCGACUGUGAAAUCUCCGGGCUUAACCCGGAAAGGUCAGCCGAUACUGCGGGGCUAGAGUGCAGAAGGGGCAACUGGAAUUCUCGGUGUAGCGGUGAAAUGCGUAGAUAUCGAGAGGAACACCUGCGGCGAAGGCGGGUUGCUGGGCUGACACUGACGCUGAGGCGCGAAAGCUAGGGGAGCGAACGGG